ACAAGCUGCAGGCUUCCUGGCAGGGCCCAUACAAGGUGGUAGAGCAGGUUUGUGAUACCACCUUUGUGAUCGGUGCGGUCAGAGGCACGGGAGGCAAGCGCAUUCUCCAUGUGAACAUGCUCAAGCCAUACCACGAGCGCACGGAGGUAACCGCGAUCUGUGCACCUGCCACUGAAGAUUAUAAUAAUUUGCCACUCCCAGAUCUCCUAGACCUAGAGGGCCAGAGCGG
rnacentral:lncRNA from 1 species